AAAAACUCUUGUCCUACGCCCGAUAGUUACUCCCCACUUCGAAACCUUAUGUCCUAAACCUUAUGUCUCUCAACUCUAAUGAAAAAACUCUAAGCCCGAUUUCUCGAGUCUCCAGCCAAACCAUGGCCAACGACGACAAAUUUCCUGCGCGGCUUUACCGGUCGGAACCCUAAUCUCGGGGUUAGCAACGGCCAUUUCCAGAAUACCCUGAUCUCAAUUUCACUUAAGCGGCGGCGUUGCCAUCGAUCUAUCAGCGAUGAUGUAGCUAGCCUUAUUUCCUGCUCCGUUGCACCGAAACCAUAGUUUGUGAUAGAAUCCUGAACUCACUCAACUCGAGAUUCCAAGAUCGAGGUGAUCAUAGAUUCACAACCUUGCACAAAGUCAAAUCUGAAGUUCAAAGUUCAUAGUGAACACUUGGAAUUAUUGAAGUUGCUUUUCCCCAAGUUCAAGAAAAACAAGAAGUCGCUGAAAGAUAAAUAGAACCAGACAUUUGCAGAGUGGUUAAAGGAAAAGGUACUGAAUGAACUCCUGUUUCCCGACAAUAAUGUUUCAGAAGCAAUGAGGUGGAUUUCAAGUGGACCGAAUAAUGAAGUGCCAACAUUUAGCGGAUGCUAGGUUAAUGGAGUUGAUUUCAACACCAAGGAUGGAGACAACAUCCGAUCAGUUCAAAACAGUGGAGUAUUUUUGCUCACGGAUGUAAUGCAAGUUUCUAGUGCAAGGGAUAAAAGGCCUAUUACUUCUAGGGAAAAUUUCACAAACAGUACACCAAGUAAAGACCACUAAUAAUUCUUAUACAUAAUGUUCCAAACCGAUCAUUUUGGUACAUGGACUCUCGAUCUCGACCCACUAUGUAGACACGACGUCAAUGACACCGUUAACUCUAAUGCCGUUAUGCAUUUGUCAAAGGGUAAUUUAGUACUAUCACACUCUGGGUCAUUUUUUCAGUUAAAAAAAAAUUUCUCCUGAUCUCCUCUGAUUCUCUCCUUUUCUCCUUCUCUCUCUCUCCCCCCACAUGCCCAAACCCAGAAACCUCGACCCCAACAACCACCGCAUCUCCUCCACCUUCCAAAUCCAUACCCACGAAACUUAACCCCACUUCUAAUGCCAGCCCCAUCCCUACCACCGAUCACCACCACAAUCCCUACGCCCAUCUUCGGAUCCACCACAUUUGCCUCCAUCAGCCCAACAGUUCUCACUCCUUGCCUGGCCUUCAACCUCGCCUUCUUCAUCACCGGAAACUGAUUCCACUCUGGCUUCCACUCUAGUUUUAUGUCACGUAUGACCAACAUAUUCUCUCCUCUUAUUCUUCGAGCAAAGCUUCGGUGCUCUCUUCCCGCACUCUCAUCACAACCUCUUAGGAUUUUCUAGCAAAUUGAGAUGUAGAGAGAGAGAGAGAAUCGCUGAGAUGAAGGUGAGGAGAGAGAAAUUGGGUCUGAGAAGAUGGGUAUGCGUGUGAUUGAUUGGUUUUGAUGAUGAAGAAGAAAUAUUGAAUUGGAAUUGGGGUUUUAGAUGAUGAGCUGCGAAAUGGAUUACGAUCUAUUCAGUCGAGGUCUUGGGCGGCUUAGUGGCGAAGCAAGUCGGGUUCUGGUCGGGGAGGACCGAAAGAGGCGGUGAGAACCCGGAGUUGUUGUUGCUGUUGUUGAACACCGGGAUUAGGAUUAUGAUAAUGGUUGUUGAUUCAACAGAGGUGAAAAGCUGUGGAUUGAUUAGGUUGGAAUUGUAGAGGUGAUCGGGAUUGGGAGGGAGGAAGAGAGAUGGGUGCCCAUAGUGAGAGAGAGAGAGGGAGAGAGAGAGAGAGAGCGCUGGGUGCCCAGAGAAAGAAAGACGGGUGCUCAAAGUAAAAAACUGAAAAGACCAUAUUAUCCCUCAAAUUAACGGCGUCAUUGACGUCGUGUACUGAUAGUGGGUCGAGUUUCAGAUUUCGUGUACCGAAAUGCUUGGUUUGGAACUUUAUGUAUAAGAAUUAUUAGUGACUUUUACUUGGUGUACUAUUUGAGAAAUUUUCCCAUACUUCUAUGGUGUGAUUAAACAAAUCUGAGAGUUGGAUUACUAUAAGUUUAGGGUGCCUUUAUUCAACUGUGAUUGGGUUGAGAAUGUUAGGGGCAUCAAGUAGAUGAACUUAGGUUUACUUUGGUAAAUCUGAAUAGGAAAGGGCACUUGAAUGAUGCUUUUGUCAUAAGUACCCAUGUGAAGCAAAUCUUUUACAUACAAGACCCCCUCGAUGCUCAAUGGCCAGUGGUAGUAAGGUGCCUUGAUAGAGACUACCAAUGGGCAGAUGAAUAUUAGGAGCUACAAGAUAUUGAAGAGGAGUAAUAGCUAUUUGAUGCCAUAAUUCCAUCCAUCGAGACGUUUGAUGACAUAGUUGGUGAUGAACAUAGCAACAAUAUGCGACCUGGUGAUGAAGGAAUCUGGAUUGAGAAUGAAAACACUCAACGUGGCUGAUAGGAUUGAGAAAGUCUAGACCUAGUUGCAUUCACUUUUGUGAGUUUUGACAAUGUGUCUUUGUACUUUUACAUUUGAUG